rnacentral:lncRNA from 1 species
AUGGGGGAGAGGUUUUGCUUGUGUUUCACCAGGAGAAAAUCAGCUUCCUGUUUGGAUACCCACUAGACAUUUGAAGUUCUACAAUCAACCCAUCAGAGAUGCAAAUGAAAGUGGCUCCGCAGAGACAGAAAACCCACAAUCGAGCAUCAUCGACUCGCAGGGUGAACAAAAUGGUGAUAUCAGAAGAACAGAUGAAGUUACCAUCCACCAAGAAAAUGGCACAUGUGGAGAGCCAGGGAGAGGAAGAGAAAGAAAAAGAGACAGAGAUCAGAGACAGACACAGAAAGUGAGACUGGGGAGAGAGAUAGUAUAAAAGAGAGAGACUGUAAGAGAAGGGAGACAAAGAGAUAAAAGGUGCGAGUGAACAGUUUACAGGUGUAUCCAGCAGCUCCAGAGAGACAGCGACCAGCGAGAAGGGGCCAUAAUGAUGGUGGCGGUUUUGUCAAAAAGAAAAGGGGGAUAUGCAGAGAAAAGAAAGAGAGAUCAGACUGUUACUGUGUCUACAUAGAAAGGGAAGACAUAAGAGACUCCAUUUUGAAAAAGACCUGUACUUUAAACAAUUGCUUUGCUGAGAUGUUCUUAAUCUGCGGCUUUGCCCCAGCCAGUUUGACCCAACCACUUUGACCCAACCUGGAGCUCACAAAAACAUGUGUUGUAUGAAAACA